AUUGAACGCUGGCGGCAGGCCUAACACAUGCAAGUCGAGCGGAGCGGCGGUCGGGUGCGUAAUGCCUAGGAAUCUGCAUGGUAGCGGGGGAUAACUUCCGGAAACGGGCGCUAAUACCGCAUACUAUCAGAUGAGCCUAGGUCGGAUUAGCUAGUUGGUGGGGUAAGGGCCUACCAAGGCGUAGAUCAGUAACUGGUCUGAGAGGAUGAUCAGUAACACUGGAACUGGGACACGGGCCAGAAUCCUAAGGGAGGCAGCAGUGGGGAAUAUUGGACAAUGGGCGAAAGCCUGAUCCAGCCAUGCCGCGUGUGUGGAGAAGGUCUUCGGAUUGUAAAGCACUUUAAGUUGGGAGGCGUUACCAACAGAAUAAGCACCGGCUAACUACGUGCCAGCAGCCGCGGUAAUAC
rnacentral:rRNA from 1 species